rnacentral:misc_RNA from 1 species
CUUUUCUAUUCUUUUUUGAAAAUUUUUUUUCCUUUAAUCUUCUCAUGGGUUCCAUUUGGAUUUACGGACUGAGUGUGAAGUGUUAAAGGGGGCUGCUUUGGCCAACUCUGCUCUCUCUCUUUCUCUCUCACACUGUUCCAAAGUAAUUGAGAUAAAGGGAAAGAAAAGAAAAGUUGAAGACUUUCUUCUCUGCUUCUCUUUCAAGUCUCUUAUCCUAUCCCUGUCUGAUUCAACUGUGUCGGCUGCUGUUUUUGGUAUCCAGGACAAUAAAGAAGUAUUCUGCUGUGUGUGAUUUAUAUGGGAAGUUUUUUAUUGUUAUUGUUUCAGUUUUUGCAUCUGGCCUGAUCUUUAAGUCAAAGGGUCUCGAUUCAUGUUCUUGGAUUUUGUAAAGAGCUUCUUCCCAAUUUUCCAGAUGAUGAUAUGUCGAAACAAGAAGCUUUUUUCGAUUCUUUAACUAAUAUGCUUCUGGAUUUUGCUUAGUUUGUGUUAGGAAGUGGGUUUCUGUAGAGGUGGGUUUGCUUUUCUGAAGUUUGAUAUGGAUUUUUUGCACCUGCUUGCUGUUCUCUGAUCGUGAAGUUUUGUUUCUGUCCUUUUAAUGGACUAAAACCUGCUUCAGAGGAGUCUCUGAUCACAGCUGGGUUUUGUAGGAACUUGUAUAUAACUUUUGAGUUAUGAUCAAGCAAAUACUUGGUAGGCUUCCACGGAAGCCAUCUAAAUCUUCUGAGAAUCGUGAAUUUAGUGGUCAAUCUGCACCUUCUUCGAACACUUCUACUGGUUCUAAAAGCAGUAAUCUUGUGAGCAAUAAGCCUUCCACUUUGAACAAUUCGUCUACUCUGGUCUCUGAUUCUGCUUCUCAUUUAGGUUAUGGUCAUGGAACUAAGCCUACCCAGUCUGUGAAUCAAAAACUGAAUGACAAUUCAGUAGUUGCUCCUUAUGAGGCAUUGCCAGGAUUUAAGGAUGUCCCCAAUUCUGAGAAGCAAAAUUUGUUUAUUGGAAAGCUGAACUUGUGUUGUGUGGUGUUCGACUUCAGUGAUCCAACUAAGAAUUUGAAAGAAAAGGACAUCAAACGCCAGACAUUGGUGGAGCUUGUGGAUUAUAUUGCUUCUGCAAAUGGGAAGUUUACAGAAACUGUCGUGCAAGAAGUUAUAAAGAUGGUGUCUAUGAAUUUAUUUAGGUCGCUUACUCCACAACCACGUGAGAAUAAGGUUUUAGAAGCCUUUGAUUUGGAAGAGGAGGAACCCUUGAUUGACCCUGCAUGGCCUCACUUGCAAAUUGUGUAUGAAUUCUUUAUGAGAUUUGUUGCCUCCCCUGAGACAGAUGCAAAGUUGGCCAAGAGGUACAUUGAUCAUUCUCUUGUUCUCAAGUUGUUAGAUCUCUUUGAUUCUGAGGAUCCAAGGGAGAGGGAGUACCUGAAGACAAUUCUACAUCGUAUCUAUGGAAAGUUUAUGGUUCAUCGCCCAUUUAUCAGGAAGGCUAUUAACAACAUCUUCUUCCGUUUUAUUUUUGAGACGGAGAAACAUAAUGGAAUUGCAGAACUUUUAGAGGUUUUAGGAAGUAUAAUCAAUGGAUUUGCUCUGCCGCUAAAAGAAGAACAUAAAUUGUUCCUUGUUCGGGCACUAAUCCCCCUUCACAAGCCAAGGUGCUUACCUAUGUACCAUCAGCAGUUAUCAUACUGCAUUACACAGUUUGUGGAAAAAGACUGCAAACUUGUAGAUACUGUUAUAAGGGCUUUAUUGAAGUAUUGGCCUAUCACUAAUAGUUCAAAGGAGGUAAUGUUCCUAAGUGAGCUGGAGGAAGUCUUAGAAGCAACCCAGCCAGCAGAAUUUCAAAGAUGUGUUGUUCCCCUGUUCCGACAGAUAGCUCGUUGCUUGAGCAGUUCACACUUCCAGGUGGCAGAAAGGGCUUUGUACUUGUGGAACAAUGAUCAUAUUGAGAACUUAAUCAGACAGAACCGAAAAGUUAUACUGCCCAUCAUCUUCCCUGCCUUGGAAAAGAAUGGAAGUAAUCACUGGAAUCAGGUGGUGCAGAGCUUAACUGUUAAUGUUCGCAAGAUCUUUGCUGAUGUUGAUCCUGAGCUGUUUGAAGAGUGCUUAAAGCAAUUUCAAGAAGAUGAAGCAAGGGCAGAAGAUAUGAAGGUGAAACACGAAGCCACAUGGAAGCACUUAGAAGAGAUUGCUGCAAGAAAAGCUGCAGGUAGUGAAGCAGUGCUUGUUCCCCACGCUAUACCCACCCUAACAUCUUCAGGCUAGAGCUAUAGGGAUAUCCAUGUUUUGUAUAAAGUAUUCAUUUUUAUUGAUUGGUCUAGGAGCCAAAAGACGGUUAUUAAGCUUUAAGAAAGAAAGAAUCCAAUUUCUUUGUUGCUGCUCUCCAAUUUUUUCUGGUUGUCAAAGUCAAGACAGUCAGGGGAAACAUUUGUGGAGCAAUGGAGUUGACAUGCCAUUUGCUCAUGGGGAUCAUAUAUACAAGGUACACUUGGAGCAGAAGUUAACAAGCUGUGCUCCACAUUUAUGAUGAGGGAGUGGAAAUAACUAGUUUAGUUUGACCUUCUUAUAGUUGAUAUUUUAGUGUCUCAAGGAGCUACAAAAUACAAAUCACAGGUACUUUAAGCACUCAGUCUUGAUUUUAAUUGGUUUUGAUGUAUUUACUGAAAUUUCUUUGACCUCAUUUCUUGUGUGUGUGUGUGUGUGUGUGU